rnacentral:snoRNA from 1 species
AUGCAUCUCUGACAGACCUGGAGCAGUUAAUGUCUGCUGCUAAAGUUCUAUGACAGAUGCAAGAAAAAGAAGGUCCUUGCACUUUCUGACUGGUUAUGGCAGCCAAGAUUGAAUGGGGGAAUACAGGA